UUCAGGGGUAAACCUGCGAAACUCGAAUGAACGAACGGAGAGAUUCAUCGUCAUUCCGGGGCGUACGUGCGUGCUCCACGAUGCGAGCGGUGCGUUUCGCGCGUGUCCGUUCGCACGGGACGCGCACGUCUCACGUCCUCGGACGGCGUGCACUUCUCUCUUAGUAAUGCAUCGCGACCCGUUCCGUCUCCAAUUAUCUAAGCGCCUUUCGGGAGUCCCGGAUGUAUUCUUCAGGGGACACAUUCGAGGACCGAACUUGAUCGGGUGGACA
rnacentral:rRNA from 1 species